rnacentral:misc_RNA from 1 species
AAGAAACGGAAUUUUAUUUCCUGUCAGAUAUACACCAACUGCAGAGUAACUCCUCGAACAGCAUUUUCCAUUAAAGUACCAUUUCAAUGAGCCAUGGGCAUUUAAAAAUUAAAAUAGGAAGGAUAUAGAUAAUAAAAGUCAAUAAUAUUUUCACUGCCAAAGAUUUUCAAUGAGAAUCCAAAACAAAACCAACAUCACAGGAUUAAUUAUAGAUAAAACCAAAACUGGAGUUCUUUAACUAUGAACCAAGAAAACAGUCUACUCUAGUCCUCUUCAUCAAUGACCUUGGUGCCCAAACCCUUGAAUCCCUCUGAAGGAACCUCUGUAACAGUGACAAGUGAAUAAAACUCCUCCUUUGCAUCCUCUUCAUCAUUUCUCUUCCGUGCAAUGCGAACACGAACUCUCCUUGGCACGCUCCUGAUUCCACGGCUCCAUAUAUGCUUGUUUAGCUUGACAUCCACUCUAACAUCAGUUGUCCCCAUGGCCUUCUGAGCGAACUUUCUGAUUUCCUUUAUAGCCUUAGGAGCCUUCUUCUUGAAAGUGCUACACAUAGAAUUUAAACAAAGUUUAAGGUAUUUGAGUUCUCAAAACACAUUAUAUUAGCAAACAGAAUAACUCAGGUCCUGAAGCCAAAAGCAGUCAACAAUUCUCAAAAACAAAUUAGCUAGAGUCAGCUAAAUAACUCACUAAUUAGCAAACAUGAAGCAAAAUAAAAAUUGAAAAAAAAAAGUUUUUUUUUUUCUAACAUAACAAAUCAAUAUAUAAAGUUAGAAGAGAAAUAAAGCUUCAGAAUUUUGCAGCUUUACAGAAAUCAAUUGCAUCAGUUAGAAUCCUACAAUAGUUCUAUUAUGAAUGCUAUGCAAAAUUGCCAAACUUAAAUCUCAAUUGGUAUGUCAACAAGAGAAGUGCGUUUCCACAUUGAUGUUACCGAAUUAUAUUAAGAUUAUUUUCAAGCAUCUUCACCAUUAAGUUAAGAUAAAGAAUGCAGAAGGGGUAACAACAUUCAUAAUAAAAGCCUAUUAUGAACAAAUUGUUAAAGUGUAAAGACCAGAAGUAAUUACACUUGCCUCAGAUCAACAUGACCUGUUUUAAGUUUAAACACUAAACCAUAAUAAUGACAUUUCAGCUGGUGCUGAAAGAAAAACCAAUAUAAUGAAAUAAAAGAAGAUGGGAUGCAGAUAUAAAAAUGAAUCAAAAGAAGCAUUAAUGUGACUAAUCCAGGAAAAAAAUGUUUAAUGAUUAUAUGUGCACAAUCCGAAACAAGGAUCAUAUAUAUAGCAGCACCACUUAACAAAUGAACUCACAGAUAAACAAGUACAAAUAUACAAAGAACAAAAUCUCAAUAGCUCUAUCAAUGCAUUGCGCUCUACCAACCAAAUCACCUAUUCAACUAUUUCAAAUUACACAUACACAUCUAAAAUUAUACAUUGAGCUUCCAGAGCUCCUAAAGAUGAAAACAAGAAAAAAGCAACAAUUAAAAGAUAAACAGGAUUUUGCAAUAAAAGCUAAAAUCAUGGACAGCAUAAUUCCCAAAUGACAAUUCAUACACGUUCUUAGCCCUUUACUUUCACCUCCUGUUCAUAUACUACGUACACUGAUAAGCCAAGCUCUGUACUAAGUUUCAUAAAUACGCGCAUGAAGCUACUCAUAAUACAGGACAGAAAGUAACCAAAACCCACAAAAUUUAAGCUCCUAUAUAUUAGAUCUAGACCAUUUUCAAUCAAAACAGGCCAUAAGAUUCACACAUUCAAUCAACCAUAACUUCAAACAAGUGGAGAGAGAGUACCAUCCCUGCAAGCGUUUAUGAAGGUUAAUGGUGUACUCUCUAGUAACAACGUCCUCUUUUCUUCCUUUGCCUGCUCUAUCCGCCAUAGCUGCGGCCCUGUAACAAUCCUAAAACUUCGAAGGUAGGGUUCUAUUCUCG